GCGCAACCUCAACGGAAGGAAAUUACUCUGUUACCAUAGAUAUUACCAUAACAAAAUACCAAGUGGACAUUUGAAGGAACUCGCAAGACUGGAAAUUUGAUUAGCAACGGUGAAACAGCAAAGCAAUGGCGUCCUACGUGGAACUCUUAUGCGGCCUGGUCGUACUAGCUGUCGCCUUCUACUAUUACCUAGUCUGGAAUUUCGAUUUCUGGAGAAAACGCGGCAUACCUGGACCAGAACCCCAUCUGUUUUUCGGCACCCAUAAGGAUUUAAUCUUUGCAAAAGUAUGCGUAGCGCAUGUGGUCGAGGAUCUUUACAGAAAGUACAGAAAUGCACCAGCAGUUGGCCUGUACAACGGCAGAUCACCUGUCCUCGUUCUGCAUGAUCCAGAACUUAUAAGGACAAUCCUGAUAAAAGAUUUCGCCAACUUCGCAGACCGUCCGCAAAAACCUCAUGCAAGGACGGAACCCCUGUCCUUAAACUUAUUUCAACUAGAUUCGGUAAGAUGGCGGUUGUUGAGACCGAAGCUAACUCCAAUGUUCACGUCAGGAAAAUUGAAAGGCAUGUUCGGUCUGAUGGUGGAAUGUUCGGAGAACUUCGAUAAAUAUUUGGACCAUGUGGUCAUGGAAAAUGAAGUAGUCGAAGUUCUCGAGGCGACUGCGAAGUACACGACCGACGUGAUCGGCAGUUGCGCGUUCGGGAUUAACAUGAACACCAUGGGCCAAGAGGACAGCGAGUUUCGUGAGAAAGGCAAGCUGAUCUUCGAAGGAAAUAUUGAGAACGCGAUACGAUUGAAGCUGAGACUGUUUCUGCCCGGGUUCUACGAUUUGCUUGGUUUCGUGUUCCCUGACAAGAGGUUGGCCCCCUUCUUCACAAAGAUUGUCACGGAAACGAUGAACUACAGGAGGCAGAACAACGUCUACAGACCUGAUUUCAUUCACCUGCUCAUGGAACUUUGGGACAACCCGGAAAGGACGGACUCCCGCGAAAUGACAGACCAAUUGCUCAUUGCACAAGCGUAUUCGUUCUUCUCGGCUGGUUUCGAGACAUCUUCGUCAGCUAUGAGCUGGGCUCUUCUUGAGCUAGCGCAGAAUCACGAAAUACAAGAGAAGUUGCAUCAAGAAAUAAAGGAGUAUAUGAAAAAAUACAACGGUGAAAUCGACUAUACCACUAUGAAAGAGAUGGAAUACUUGGAUAAAGUGUUCAGAGAAACAUUGAGGAAAUAUCCACCAGCGGCGUUGUUAUUACGAACAGCAACUACUGAUUACACUUUCGAGACGUUGAAUCUAUCAAUACCGAAAUCAACAGAAAUAUGGAUUCCAAUGUUUGCGAUACAAAGGGAUCCUGCCAUUUAUCCAGAUCCCCUGAAAUUCGAUCCCGAAAGAUUCACCAAAGAAGCUAUAGCAACCCGACAUCCAAUGUACCAUUUAUCUUUUGGUGACGGACCAAGGAAUUGCAUUGGUAACCGUUUCGCCAUUUUCCAAACAAAACUAGGUCUUCUCAGAAUACUUCUACGCUACAAAGUGGACAUUUGCGAAAAAACUAAGCUUCCAUGUGAAUUCGAUCCCAACGCAUGGCUCUUGUCGCAUAAGGGCGGAAUAUACUUGAAGAUGACGAAAAUUGAAUAAUGUUAACGUAUUUACCGAAGGUAUAGUGGAGCUGUUGAUGAAUACCAAAUUAUUGUCUUCUAAUUUGAUUCUGAAAUAUGUUAACAACAUGCGGACCAACCAGAAAAACAAAAUUGCAUGGAAUGUUAAAGUCAGAUUACUCCUAUUCAGACGUUCGUGAAGAAAACGUUACCAAAACCGAAGAUCAUUCAAGUCAGGAAAUUAAAUUCAUUAGUUCAAGAAAAGAUCGUCUGAAGCAACUGUAUCAGCGUGACGCGGCCGAGCUAGAAAUAUUGCUUCGCGCCUGGGGUUACGCUUUCAUUCCCACACAACCUUGACCUUUCUUCGCUGCAUACUCUUUGUCUAUUCGGGCGACCUUGACUACAAUGAGCCAAUACUGAACACAACACUUCCACCGCUUUCGAAUUAAACAGGCAUCGUCAGCACUUCUUCCACUUAAACUAACCUUUUAUCUGGUGAGGACGAGUUAUCUCGUCACUCAUCUUUGUUAGCACGAUAUAAUAAACAUUUUUCUACAGUCAA